AGACCCUGCAGGCCAGGGGAGGAGCGGAACCAGACAGCAACAGUCCCCACAAUGAGAAACCCAGGCUGGGCAAUGCCAGCAGCUGCCCUGCUGCAGGGUAAGGGGGCACUGGCUGGGGUCCCAGCCCUCCUGCUCCAUUAUGGGGAUGCAGGUGACAAUGGGACUCCUGCCCUGUCUGCAGCGGGCUGCUCCAGCGCCAUGUCCCGACACCCAAUGCCUACAUGGACGAUCCCUUUGGGCAGCUCCCACCAGCUGAGGCUCCCAAGCAUCUCUACUCCAACAUGGAGCGGCUGCAGCAGCUGCAGCAGAGCUUGGACCGAGCAGUGCAAGGGCAGCACAGGAGGCCCAUGUCUGCGCUGCCCAUGGGUGCCUGCAGCAGCACCCUGCAGUCAGCACCAGCAGCAGCUCCCCGGAGCAGGGCAGCCAGCCCGCAGUGGGUGAAGGUGAGCUCCAACCUCUGGAGCAAGGAUCUCUCCCAGUCCCAGCGCACCCUGACUCUGCCAGAGAGGAAGGGAACUCGGGAUGGGCUGGAUAUCCUCAUCGGGAAAAGAGCCUUCCCGAAGCUGGAGGAGAAGGGGGGGCAGCUGGAGAGGACCUGCCGCAUGAAGGGCAGGCUGAAAGCCGGCUCCGAGAUGAACCUGUUGGCCAUCGGCACGUCCCUCAAGGGCCACAUCGCUGCCACCGGCGGCUCGGCCGGCUCCGAGGGCUCUGUCCUGGCGCCGCUGCUGAAGCGGACGGCAUCGGCUCGGAGCGCCCUGAGGUCACCGCCGUCCCCGCUCGUGGUGGAGAGGGGAAGUGUGCGGCAGAAGAGAAAGGUACCGGAGGGGGGGAGCCGGGGGGAGCC
rnacentral:lncRNA from 14 species